rnacentral:lncRNA from 1 species
GGAGGAUAUGGUUUAAGGAAAUGUGUCUGGUUGGCAAGUUGACCAGGGGUGAUUUGUGAUAGUUAACUGUGGCUUCAAUUUAAAUAAAAAAAUGCUUAUCUGAUUGGUUUAGCAGAGUUCUGGGUGUGUCUGGAUAAUGGACUGAUUGAAGAUGGAAGAUCCACCCUGGGUGUGGGUUGCACCAAUCAAUAGGCUUGAAGCCUGGAUGGAAUAAAAAGGCAAAGAGAAGGAAGUCUUGCUUCUACUUCUUCAGAGGAACUCCAGUCUUCACCAUUGCCUUUGGAUGUUCAUCUCCAGGCUUCCAGCACAGACUCUAUACCCUUUCAGGGAAGACCCUUUGGGUUCCUGAUACGGAUUCACACAGGACAUGGUGAUGUCUAUGUCUCCUACAUUUAGGAGCUUGAGAUGGGCCCUGUGUACCCCACUCCUGAGUCCCAAGUAUCCAGGGUGGACAGACUUCCAGUGUCGUCACCAACCAGCCUGGACAUGCUGGCCCCAACCACAGACCCUGAGAAGCCAUGGUGAUCACUCACUGGCCCAACUGUGUGAGCUCACUCUCCCCUCCCCAGUUGUUCACUUCCCUUGUAGAAGGCAUCACCCCAGUGCUUGCUUAUACUGGUUCCAUUCUUUGUUCCAACAGUUAUCUGCCCUUGCACUUGAGCAUCUGUUCAUCUCUCUCCCUGCAAAUAUCUCUCCACUUCUGCCCCUCCCACCUGCCCCUCCCACCUGGCACCACAUCCUGUAGGGGUGAAUUUGACCCCAGAGAACAUCAUCCCUGGGGCUAGCCCUUCCCUGAUUCAGGUGAUAUUGAGGUGAAACUUGGAACUUGGAGUUGGGGUGGAUUGGAUGAGUCUCCUUGGGUGUUGGGAGGGGGUGGGUGAAUUUUGGGCCCUGAGGUGGACCAUUAGGAGAUGAACGUGUCUCCUAUACAUUUGUAUGUAGACGUCCCAGCCCCAGACCUCAGAAUGUGCUACAUUUGGAGAGAAGGUCUUUA